rnacentral:rRNA from 1 species
GGACUACUGGGGUAUCUAAUCCUGUUUGCUCCCCACGCUUUCGCGCCUCAGCGUCAGUAGAAGACCAGGUUGCCGCCUUCGCCACCGGUGUUCUUUCCAAUAUCUACGAAUUUCACCUCUACACUGGAAAUUCCACAACCCUCUUCUCCACUCUAGCUCACACGUAUCAAAAGCAGUCCCCAGGUUGAGCCCAGGAAUUUCACUUCUGACUGUGUGUGCCGCCUACGCGCCCUUUACGCCCAGUCAUUCCGAGCAACGCUAGCCCCCUUCGUAUUACCGCGGCGGCUGGCAC